UACGAGCAGUCUACUCCGAACUCCUACAACGAGCGGUCUACUCCAAACUCCUACGACGGGCGGUCUACUCUGGAUAUCUACUGUAAGCAAAUUCUAUUCGAGCCUCUACUGUAAAUAAAUUUCUUUCGAACUUCCAUUACAGGUAGACUUCAGCCGAGCUUCUUCGUAGCCGGAUCCCAGACGAGCUUCUAUCAUGGGAAAGGACCCGUCGGCC
rnacentral:lncRNA from 1 species